AUUGAACGCUGGCGGCAUGCCUUACACAUGCAAGUCGAACGGCAGCACGGGUGCUUGCACCUGGUGGCGAGUGGCGAACGGGUGAGUAAUACAUCGGAACGUACCUUAUCGUGGGGGGUAACGCAGCGAAAGCUGUGCUAAUACCGCAUACGCCCUGAGGGGGAAAGCGGGGGAUCGCAAGACCUCGCGCGAUUAGAGCGGGCGAUGCCUGAUUAGCGUGUUGGGGGGGUAAAAGCCCACCAAGGCGACGAUCAGUAGCUGGUCUGAGAGGACGAUCAGCCACACUGGGACUGAGACACGGCCCAGACUCCUACGGGAGGCAGCAGUGGGGAAUUUUGGACAAUGGGGGCAACCCUGAUCCAGCAAUGCCGCGUGAGUGAAGAAGGCCUUCGGGUUGUAAAGCUCUUUUGUCAGGGAAGAAACGCCGGCUCUAACACAGUCCGGGAAUGACGGUACCUGAAGAAUAAGCACCGGCUAACUACGUGCCAGCCGCCGCCGUAA
rnacentral:rRNA from 1 species